GCCCAAGUGGCGGAAUUGGUAGACGCGCUACAUUCAGGGUGUAGUGACCGAACGGUCGUGAAGGUUCGAGUCCUUUCUUGGGCACAA
rnacentral:tRNA from 1 species